rnacentral:rRNA from 1 species
UACGGGGGGGGCAAGCGUUGUUCGGAAUUACUGGGCGUAAAGGCUCGUAGGUGGCCAACUAAGUCAGACGUGAAAUCCCUCGGCUUAACCGGGGAACUGCGUCUGAUACUGGAUGGCUUGAGAUUGGGAGAGGGAUGCGGAAUUCCAGGUGUAGCGGUGAAAUGCGUAGAUAUCUGGAGGAACACCGGUGGCGAAGGCGGCAUCCUGG